rnacentral:rRNA from 1 species
UGGGGAAUAUUGGGCAAUGGGCGCAAGCCUGACCCAGCAACGCCGCGUGAAGGAAGAAGGCUUUCGGGUUGUAAACUUCUUUUCUGGGGGACGAACAAAUGACGGUACCCCAGGAAUAAGCCACGGCUAACUACGUGCCAGCAGCCGCGGUAAUACGUAGGUGGCAAGCGUUAUCCGGAUUUAUUGGGUGUAAAGGGCGUGUAGGCGGGAGUGCAAGUCAGAUGUGAAAACUAUGGGCUCAACCCAUAGCCUGCAUUUGAAACUGUACUUCUUGAGUGCUGGAGAGGCAAUCGGAAUUCCGUGUGUAGCGGUGAAAUGCGUAGAUAUACGGAGGAACACCAGUGGCGAAGGCGGAUUGCUGGACAGUAACUGACGCUGAGGCGCGAAAGCGUGGGGAGCAAACAGGAUUAGAUACCC